rnacentral:rRNA from 2 species
AGAGUUUGAUCCUGGCUCAGAGCGAACGCUGGCGGCAGGCUUAACACAUGCAAGUCGAGCGGUUCCUUCGGGGACAGCGGCAGACGGGUGAGUAACGCGUGGGAACGUGCCCAUCGGUUCGGAAUAACCCGGGGAAACCCGGGCUAAUACCGGAUACGUGCGAGAGCAGAAAGAUUUAUCGCCGAUGGAUCGGCCCGCGUCUGAUUAGCUAGUUGGUGGGGUAAAGGCCUACCAAGGCGACGAUCAGUAGCUGGUCUGAGAGGAUGAUCAGCCACACUGGGACUGAGACACGGCCCAGACUCCUACGGGAGGCAGCAGUGGGGAAUAUUGGACAAUGGGCGCAAGCCUGAUCCAGCCAUGCCGCCUGAGUGAUGAAGGCCUUAGGGUUGUAAAGCUCUUUCGCACGCGACGAUAAUGACGGUAGCGUGAGAAGAAGCCCCGGCUAACUUCGUGCCAGCAGCCGCGGUAAUACGAAGGGGGCUAGCGUUGCUCGGAAUCACUGGGCGUAAAGGGCGCGUAGGCGGACAUUUAAGUCAGGGGUGAAAGCCCAGAGCUCAGCUCUGGAAUUGCCUUUGAUACUGGGUGUCUCGAGUCUGGUAGAGGUUGGUGGAACUGCGAGUGUAGAGGUGAAAUUCGUAGAUAUUCGCAAGAACACCGGUGGCGAAGGCGGCCAACUGGACCAGUACUGACGCUGAGGCGCGAAAGCGUGGGGAGCAAACAGGAUUAGAUACCCCCGUAGUCC